rnacentral:sRNA from 2 species
CUGCAGCACAACCAACUGUGGAGACCAGGCUCUUGGCCCUCUCGUGUUCUGUUCUAUUUAUUUCUUUUUAUGACGCUUAGAGGCUUCAGAGAAGAUAGCUGGAGGGUUCAUCUUGUUGGAAAAUUCGCAUGGAACUAAGCAAGCUUGGACGGCGUUUCAAAGGUUAAUUUGUUGGGUAGAGACGAGAUGGAGAUGAACCAUGAAGUUUUGAGCCUUUGUUCAUGGGGUCGUUAGGACAGAAAUCGGACAUCCUCGGCCCAGAUCGAGAAAUCUCAUUUCAGUUUUGAUAGGAGAUCAUUGAUGCAUCUUCCAUCUUGGCAAGCAUGUCCUACGAAAAUUUUCUUCAUUGUAAUUGUGUGAGAGUAUGUCUAGACUCCUGAUUUGUGAGGAUUGUUGAAAUAUCAUUUUCUCGAAGUGUGGCAGGAUGAAAGUUACGUGAAGAUCUCCACAAAGUGCACUUGGAUGUUUCGUUUUGCCGAGGUCCAUCUCGUAGAUCGAAUACCUGUCGUCCAGGAUUGACCGCUGUGAUGUUAGCACUAGUAUUGUUAUUAUUUUAGAGGGUGGUAUGCCGAUAUUCGUUCUGCUGAGCCUGGGUCCGUAUCAAAAUUCACCAAAGAAAUGUGCAGCGGUAUGGUGAC